UACGUAGGGUGCAAGCGUUAAUCGGAAUUACUGGGCGUAAAGCGUGCGCAGGCGGUUUUGUAAGACUGUCGUGAAAUCCCCGGGCUUAACCUGGGAAUGGCGAUGGUGACUGCAAGGCUAGAGUUUGGCAGAGGGGGGUAGAAUUCCACAUGUAGCAGUGAAAUGCGUAGAUAUGUGGAGGAACACCGAUGGCGAAGGCAGCCCCCUGGGUCAAAACUGACGCUCAUGCACGAAAGCGUGGGGAGCAAACAGG
rnacentral:rRNA from 1 species